rnacentral:rRNA from 1 species
AGAGUUUGAUCCUGGCUCAGGAUGAACGCUAGCGGCAGGCUAAUACAUGCAAGUCGAACGGGUGCAGCAAUGCAUUAGUGGCGCACGGGUGCGUAACACGUAGGUAACCUACCUUUUACUGGGGGAUAACGAUGGGAAACCAUCGCUAAUACCGCAUAAGACAAUGGAGAGGCAUCUCUCAGUUGUUAAAGAUUGAUUGGUAAAAGAUGGGCCUGCGGCUGAUUAGCUAGUUGGUGGUGUAACGGACCACCAAGGCUGUGAUCAGUAGGGGUUCUGAGAGGAAGAUCCCCCACACUGGCACUGAGAUACGGGCCAGACUCCUACGGGAGGCAGCAGUAGGGAAUAUUGGGCAAUGGCGGAAACGCUGACCCAGCCAUGCCGCGUGCAGGAAGAAGGCGCUCAGCGUUGUAAACUGCUUUUGCCGGGGAAGAAUGAGUUCUACGUGUAGAACGAGUGACGGUACCUGGUGAAUAAGCACCGGCUAACUCCGUGCCAGCAGCCGCGGUAAUACGGAGGGUGCAAGCGUUGUCCGGAUUUAUUGGGUUUAAAGGGUGCGUAGGUGGCUUUUUAAGUCCGGGGUGAAAGGCAGUGGCUCAACCACUCGCAGGGCCCCGGAUACUGGGAGGCUCGAGUGCGCGUGAGGCCGGUGGAACGGGUGGUGUAGCGGUGAAAUGCAUAGAUACCAUCCAGAACACCGAUUGCGGAGGCAGCCGCUAACGCGCAACUGACACUGAGGCACGAAAGCGUGGGGAGCAAACAGGAUUAGAUACCCUAGUAGUCC